rnacentral:lncRNA from 1 species
AAAUAAUUUUUAAAUUUUAGGAUUAUGAAGUGUGAUAUGUGCAUCUUGUAAUAGAAUAGAAAAUUAGCAUUUUUUUUUCUUAAGUUUUUAGAAUAUAAUGGUUAUUUUAUAUUUUUUUGACAGGAUAAGCAUUAUUUGAUUUUUUUUUUCUAUUUAAUUAAGCUUGCCCUUUGGGUGUAUUGGAAAGCCAGAUGUGAAAGAAAAAUGUUGAAUAUAAAAUAUAUAAAUGUCUUUCUCUAAUAGUUUAUAUCUUUAAAGUACAACGAUUAUUUCAUGUAAUUUUAUAAUUUUCAGUCUUGGAAUGUGUCCUUUUGGCCACCGGAUUGGAAACCUUCAAUGGUCGAUAGUGAUGGGGCUAACCAUUUUUUAUGAUUCUAGGACCACUAAGACUGAUCCAAAGGCUAAAGAAUUAAUAACGCCAAAAGACUUAGUGCUUUCAAAAAUAUACAUAUGAAUGUCUAUAUCCAGAUAUAGAGGGAGAGAGUCCAGCUGUAAUAUUUUUAAUAGUACCAAACACUUAGGAUAUAUUUGGUUUAUCUAUUUUAGACUAUGAAAUUAGAAUGGAAUUUAUUGAUUUGAAUAGAUGUUAUUUGUUUUAAAGAAAUCGAAUUCCAACUCUCAUUCCACUCUGAAAUGAAAAUGGCUAAAUUCAUUUAUGGUCCAAUUCAGCUUUGAGUACCGAAUUGGCUCAUUUCAAAAUAAACUAUUCAAAAUUCUCUUUCAUCGGCACCUCUCAUCCUCUCCUUUCAUCGUUUUUCUCUUUCUUAAUCGAAAUAUUCUCUAAAAUAUUCUAGAUUUUCAUUCUAAUAUCUAUUUCAAUAAUAAACCAAAUAUUUUUGAAUGAUUCGUCACUUUAUUUUCUCAUCAAAAAUAAUCUAAUUUUAUUUUUCAUUCCUAUUUCAAUCGUGAACCAAUCAUGCGCUUAAUGUUACUAAGUUUUUUUGUGUUAAAUAUAUAUUUUAUCAAUUUCACCUCUUAAAUCAUGCUAUUCUGCCAACCACCCACUUAACUCCAGAGAGACCAUCACUAAAUUUUAGAAAAUCAGUAUUAUUUCAAUCCUAUAAUUUUCAUCAAAGGUUUAUAAAUUAAAUAGUAAACGGCAUCAAAUACGUAUGGUACUAUAUACUAAUUUGUUUGUUGACAUAUGUCUAUUUGGUAUAUUCCAUG